UACGAAGGGGGCUAGCGUUGCUCGGAAUCACUGGGCGUAAAGCGCACGUAGGCGGACUCUUAAGUCGGUGGUGAAAUCCUGGAGCUCAACUCCAGAACUGCCUUCGAUACUGGGAGUCUCGAGUCCGGGAGAGGAGAGUGGAACUGCGAGUGUAGAGGUGAAAUUCGUAGAUAUUCGCAAGAACACCAGUGGCGAAGGCGGCUCACUGGCCCGGUACUGACGCUGAGGUGCGAAAGCGUGGGGAGCAAACAGG
rnacentral:rRNA from 1 species